rnacentral:lncRNA from 1 species
UGCUCAGCAUGGGAGGGCCCAGAAGCCACACUGAGGAGGCAGUGGAAGGCCCAGAGUGUGGGUCUGGCCAGAAAGCCCUGGAGGAUGUGACAGCUGCCAUUAUAUGUCCACCAUGCUGCCUGGGGACAGAGUGGGCAGCCCCAGAAACAGAGAGAAGUCUGGGGAGAAGAAUUCUAGGGAAACUGGAUCCAUUUCCAUAUGAAGAAAAGGAAGGCUUUCUGAGAGUCAGGGCCAUUCGGUGACAUGAGCAGGGAGCUUUCCAUCACUGGAGGUGUGCCAGGAGCCACUGAUGGCCUUUUGGACAAGAGGCCAAAGGGCAUAGGA